UUCCAACUGACGAGUCCUAAACAGGAUGAAACGCGUGUCCUGGAU
rfam:Schistosoma mattheei strain Denwood, Zambia genome assembly, scaffold: SMTD_scaffold0020287